rnacentral:rRNA from 1 species
AGAGUUUGAUCCUGGCUCAGAUUGAACGCUGGCGGCGUGCCUAACACAUGCAAGUCGAGCGGUAACGCGGGGGCAACCCUGGCGACGAGCGGCGAACGGGUGAGUAAUGCUUGGGAAUCUGCCCAGUAGUGGGGAAUAACCAGCCGAAAGGUUGGCUAAUACCGCAUACGCCCUACGGGGGAAAGCGGGGGACCGAAAGGCCUCGCGCUAUUGGAUGAGCCCAAGUCGGAUUAGCUAGUUGGUAGGGUAACGGCCUACCAAGGCGACGAUCCGUAGCUGGUCUGAGAGGACGACCAGCCACACUGGGACUGAGACACGGCCCAGACUCCUACGGGAGGCAGCAGUGGGGAAUAUUGGACAAUGGGCGAAAGCCUGAUCCAGCGACGCCGCGUGGGUGAAGAAGGCCUGCGGGUUGUAAAGCCCUUUUAGUGGGGAUGAAAAACUCAGACCUAAUACGUCU